rnacentral:lncRNA from 1 species
AGACACUCAGGCUUUGUUUGGGAGAGAAGAUGGGGGAAGAAAAAGAAGGUGGGUAUAUCGAAUCCUGGAAGAAUUUGAAUCUUCUGUGAGAGGGUUUUGGAGGCAAAAUUUAUGAUGUUCACCACCCACCCUAUAUUUUCCUCCCCUCUCUCUACCACAGAAAGCAUCAGGUAGACCUGCUAGAAUUUUAAGAUAUCUUUUGAUAUUGUUCAAGUGUAAGAAACCUUUUUUGAUUGGUCUAAGUGGAAAACACGUUAAAGUAACCAUCAGAUGCAUUCUAGAUAGUUCCCGCUACACCCUGCCAUCAUUUUCAGAAACAGCAUGAUAUUCUUGGUGGUUGCUUCACCCUAUUAAUCCAGAGGUGUCCCAAAUGCAAGAGAAUCAGAGCCAAGUGCUGCCAUCACCCCCAACUGCAAUGGUCAGAUGGCACUGCACCUGGCAGUGGCACAAAAAAUCACAUUUCUAUGUCCAUUUAGGAAAACAACAUAACCACGACUCCUCAGAGAAUGAUCUGCUGAGAAGAAAAGUAAAACCCAAACAAAAGG